UGAGGAAUAUUGGGCAAUGCCCGCAAGGGUGACCCAGCAACGCCGCGUGGAGGAUGAAUGUCGUAAGAUUGUAAACUCCUGUUAGAGGGGAAGAAUAGUACCGGUUGGACCGGUAUAUGACUGUACCCUCAGAGAAAGCCCCGGUUAACUACGUGCCAGCAGCCGCGGUAAUACGUAGGGGGCAAGCGUUGUCCGGAUUUACUGGGUGUAAAGGGCGCGCAGGCGGGAUAAAAAGUCAGUGGUGGAAUCCUACAGCUUAACUGUAGAACUGCCUUUGAUACUUUUAGUCUUGAGUUCGGGAGAGGGAGACGGAAUUCCAGGUGUAGUGGUGAAAUACGUAGAUAUCUGGAAGAACACCAGUUGCGAAGGCGGUCUCUUGGUCCGACACUGACGCUGAGGCGCGAAAGCGUGGG
rnacentral:rRNA from 1 species